rnacentral:rRNA from 1 species
GACGAACGCUGGCGGCGUGCUUAACACAUGCAAGUCGAACGGAAAGGCCCUGCUUUUGUGGGGUGCUCGAGUGGCGAACGGGUGAGUAACACGUGAGUAACCUGCCCUUGACUUUGGGAUAACUUCAGGAAACUGGGGCUAAUACCGGAUAGGAGCUCCUGCUGCAUGGUGGGGGUUGGAAAGUUUCGGCGGUUGUGGAUGGACUCGCGGCUUAUCAGCUUGUUGGUGGGGUAGUGGCUUACCAAGGCUUUGACGGGUAGCCGGCCUGAGAGGGUGACCGGCGACAUUGGGACUGAGAUACGGACCAGAAUCCUACGGGAGGCAGCAGUGGGGAAUAUUGCACAAUGGGCGGAAGCCUGAGGCAGAAACGCCGCGUGCGGGAUGACGGCCUUCGGGGUGUAAACAGCUUUCGCCUGUGACGAAGCGUGAGUGACGGUAAUGGGUAAAGAAGCACCGGCUAACUACGUG